rnacentral:lncRNA from 1 species
GGCAGAGUAACACGGGGCAAGAACCAGGUCACAUUUCCAAGUCUCUCCUGGAAGCCACACUCCCAGUGCCAGCUGCACACUGCCAGACAUACCUUGGGGCUUUCCUGACUUCCUCACAGAAAGUUCCACAGCUUGCCAACAGGCAGCCUGUGUGUCUCUAGGAUGUCAGCAGCUAUCUGGUGUCUACUUUAAGAUGUCUAGCCCGUUUUGUGAGUGUGUAUGAGCAAAUCUGACAAGGUAUACAAGUUAAAAGGAAAAACUGAAGUGCAAUCUAUGAAGUUGUCUAUCUCAGGUAUUAAGAGAAGUUUUUGCAAAGAGAAGUUUUGUGGAGACCUUCUUAAACCCAGCCACAGCUAUCUUUGGACUUUCUCUAUGUCUUAAACAUCUGUAAUCUAAACCUAUGAUUGUCACACCCUUCUGCCUCCUCUGGCAAUGUCUCAUAAUUUCAAACAAAGGCAGCCAAACAUCUACAAUUAGUAUUCAACAGGCAAAGGUGGUUAAUUAUUGUUCGCCUGUUAAAUGAUGACAUAUCAUAAAGGCUCUAUCUCUGGCCUGUCGUUGCACUACAGUCUGAAUGCUGUCCUUCUACAAACACUCACUUCACAAUGUUUGGGAGAUGCUAUGGGAUGGUGAACUUUUAUCCUUGCAUGCCGGAUCCAUAUCAAUGCAGCUUUGUAAGUCUGGGAGGGCACCGCUGUAGCCAGGAUGUUUGUUCUAGGCAGCGUGAUGCCGACGACGCACAGGCUGGGUUCUGGCUCUGUGCUCUUAGUUUGUUUUCUUGUUUGUGCUCUCCUAAACAACCUUGAAAAUCCCAGACAGGGUGGUGAAAUAUGAC